UGGCAUUUGAUGGAGAAAUUUUUUUCCAAGAGUUUAGCUUUCUGGAGCCAAAGUUACGCAGGCUGAUGAGGGCUCUGUUUUCCAAUUCUGGUGGUUUUUUAAAAUAUUGUAGCCAGCCAAAUUAAAUAAUUUUUGCGAAUUGUUGCGCUGAUUAUUAUUUACAGUAAUUCUAUUAUAUUUUUUCACAUAGAUAUUACGAGCACAUUUUAAUAUUAUUUGUUUAUACCGAUUUAUUUUUCAAAGCAAAAGACAAAAACUCACUGGACAUUGAACGCCAGUUUUUCAGUUGUCAUGUGCUGUUGACGUCUCGUCUGCAUUGCUUUUAAUUCCUCCUGUUGAUGCCUCGUCCAUAUGCUGUUUUCUUUCUUAGAUUUACUGCCAGAAGCAAGCUGCUGCCCGUUGACACCUGAUGGAUCGCUACAGUGAGGAUGAAUAUAUUGCUGUGAUCAUUCAUCUUGCCAAAUGUGACACAUCAGCACAACAGAGCAUAACUCAAGGUUGAUAAAUAUCCUGGUAUC
ensembl:lncRNA